CGGUUCGGUCGAUUGUUCAACAAGAACUUUAAUGUGCAUUUGUUGGUUCUGGGAUAACGUUUCAAAACAUCAUGUAUGAUUAGUGUUGAAGCCAUUGGUGUGGAUCUUCAAUAUAGCAGGCAUGUCCAAGGCCUCGAAAGACUUGAGGUGACGAGGCCUUUGGAAUGUGGGUGAGCAUCCUGGUGGAGGCCUGUCCUAACGUGGCAUCCGUUUCUCCGACCACAAUCAAGGUGGGAACUUGAACUUGGCGGAAUUGGACCACGUCGUAAUCGGUGGUGGACACGGGUGCGAUUGGCACAAAGCCGCAAAAGUGGUCUAAAAGGAGGAGCAAGAAAAGGAGUGAAAAGUCAUAAGUGUAUGGUUCAUGUGCUUUCUUUUUAGCAGCGUAUUGCACAUGGCUCUCUUUCUUCUCGGCGUUUCAUUUGUAACGUAUCAACGUGUUGAGAACCUUUUUUGGUUUACAAUUGGGGAAAGUGCAAUUCUUUUAAAGCGUCUCAUAAAAUAUGUUGAUAAAUA